UACGUAGGGUGCGAGCGUUGUCCGGAAUUAUUGGGCGUAAAGAGCUCGUAGGCGGUUUGUCGCGUCGGCCGUGAAAACUUGGGGCUUAACUCCAAGCUUGCGGUCGAUACGGGCAGACUUGAGUUCGGCAGGGGAGACUGGAAUUCCUGGUGUAGCGGUGAAAUGCGCAGAUAUCAGGAGGAACACCGGUGGCGAAGGCGGGUCUCCGGGCCGAUACUGACACUGAGAAGCGAAAGCGUGGGGAGCGAACAGG
rnacentral:rRNA from 1 species